rnacentral:rRNA from 1 species
GGCCUACCAUGGUGGUAACGGGUAACGGGGUGUUAGGGCACGACACCGGAGAGGGAGCCUGAGAAACGGCUACCACAUCCAAGGAUGGCAGCAGGCGCGCAAGUUACCCAAUCCCGACACGGGGAGGUAGUGACAAUAAAUAACAAUACGGGGUUCUUUCGGAUUUCGUAAUUGGAAUGAGUACAAUUUAAAUCUCUUAACGAGGAACAAUUGGAGGGCAAGUCUGGUGCCAGCAGCCGCGGUAAUUCCAGCUCCAAUAGCGUAUAUUAAAGUUGUUGCAGUUAAAAAGCUCGUAGUUGAAUUUCGGGAUCGACGGGUCGGUCGCGCCUCUGGUGUGUACUGGCCCUGUCGGUUUCUCCCUUCUGACGAACCACGAUGUCAUUAAUUUGGUGUCGUGGGGAAUCAGGACUGUUACUUUGAAAAAAUUAGAGUGUUUAAAGCAGGCAUUCGCUUGAAUACAUUAGCAUGGAAUAAUGAAAUAGGACGUUUGAUCUUAUUUUGUUGGUUUCUAAGAUCGACGUAAUGAUUAAUAGGGAUAGUUGGGGGCAUUAGUAUUCAAUUGUCAGAGGUGAAAUUCUUGGAUUUAUUGAAGACUAACUACUGCAAAAGCAUUUGCCAAGGAUGUUUUCAUUAAUCAAGAACGAAAGUUAGGGGAUCGAAGACGAUCAGAUACCGUCGUAGUCUUAACCAUAAACUAUGCCGACUAGGGAUCGGAUGAUGUUAAUUUUUUAAUGACUCAUUCGGCGCCUUACGGGAAACCAAAGUGUUUGGGUUC